AGAAGACAUAUACACAGAGAAAGAUGCAGAAAGCAGCCUUGAGGUAGUCACACAUUCAAACUCAUACACCAAACAGACAGGGUGGAAUGUACAGGGAACAUGAAGUAGAAGUUUACAAUUUAGAUGUACUCUUUGUUCAAUACCUCUGAGGGAAAGGCUUUCAUUUCUUUCCUUAACUCAUCUCAGAUUCAUUAUUAAUCAUCAAUGUGUUCAAUCUAUUCUCACAGGAAGUAUCUAUUAGCUGGUGCCAUCUUUUUUUUUUUUUUUUUUUUGCAUAAGCUUAAUGUGGGGAAGUAUAUAAUUCACCAUGAUGGAAAGCAAGGAGCCCUGCCAUCCGAACGAUGUCCAAGGGCUCAGAAUCAUGUACUUUAAGGACAGACCCCCAGGUCUGGGCUUGUGUUUCUGAGCACUCACCUCCGUAAUGAGCUGGAAUCUAUUUCAACCUGUCAAAAUCAUCACAACAGUUUUUGAUCCUCAGAAAUCUUCUGAGACACCUGGGCCUCAUUAUAAUCAUGAAAAGAGUUGACUUCCUAGCUAGAAUCCCUAAAGAGACUUGGGUAAUUCUGGAGACUUCUUCCUCUGCUUAUGCAGAUGUGCAUGUAUGUACAUUGAGAAUUAUAGAGCACAAUCAGGAAUAUAUUUAUGAGCAAGUUUUUAAACAGUAUCUAUUAUAGUCCUAAGUCUAGUUGUUGUCUCCUUGUUUGUUUUUAAUAAAAUCUGGACAGUGUUCCCAAGGUGUUUCUCUAUUUUACUCCUCACACAUUACAAGCAGGAUAUGAUAUUGUGCCAUAUACAACAUUAUUUCAGUUCAUCAUUUUCUUUAACUGAGGUGUUCCAGCAACUCUACAAUGUGUUCAAGCCUGAUAUUUUGUUUCUCACAGGAACUCUUGGUAUUAUUUUUCUUUGACUCACAGCAUUUUUCAUUUCUUUUUUCAUUUCAUUUUUGUGGGUAUUUCUAACUACUUAUUGAACUCAAUUUUCAUAUCCUAAGUUGUCUUCAUUUCCUUCAGGCAUCUGCUAUUAUUUCUUGUUCAUGAAUCAUUUUGUUCCUGUCCUCUCUGAGUUGAUUGACAUGCAUCUCCUGAUCCUCACUCUGAGUUUUCAGUUCUGUAUCUUGGAUAUCAUAUAAAUUGCUCUCCUUAGGGGAUAUAUACUAUACUUUAAGACUAGGACAUUUUAACAUCAUAAUUUAGAGGGACUAUUUUCUUUUUUGAGUUUUUGGCCCAGGAGUCUGGUAUUGCAACAUGAGAAGUUAGUCAACAUAACUUGGUUUUGAAUGGCCCAGAACCCAGGUGUAGUGUCCUACCACAUCCAGUUCUGGUCUGGAAUGGCCGCAACCUUGUGGGGAAGCUGUGUAGUGUAGGCCCUGGGCAUCCUGACAGCUGCAGUUGUGUGGAAGGCACCCUGCAACAGAGUUGGUGGAGUGGUAUCUGAGGGGAGGGAGGGCCUACUUGCCUGAUUAGAUGCAUUUCGGAAAACGACAAAAACAAGCAAUGAAGUAAGCAAGCCAGGAAAACCAACCAACCAAACAAACAAACAAACAAACAAACAAACAAACACAGCUGAGAGGUACUGGGAAGCUAAUUCAUUAAAAGGGUCCUAAGUCGGAGGGUUUUAAAGAAACAUGUAGCAGGAAACUGCUGUAUAUUGUGUGGAACCAGAAGGAGUUGUCCCAAGGAACUAGGCCAUAGUAACAGGAAAUACCACCACUCCUGCAUUCUCUGCAUAUUCUGGAUGUCCUCGUGGUCAGGAAGUCUUGGGGGGUGGGGGUGGGGCUAGAGCCAAGUAUUAGGGAAACUCGAAAACUUCUUUAGGGUACAGUUGCUGUGUGGGCAUUGUGGGAGAGUCACCUGUGAUAAGUCUGUCCUGGAACCUGACAUGUAAGAGGAACUGGCAGAAGUAAAGCAGGGGUGUGGAGCAGGGGUGAUUUUCUGCAGCCACUCUCACUAUUCUGUUGUGAAUAUCUUACAAUUGUCAAGAAGUUUGAGAUCCUAUUGAGGUAUCAAAAUGGAAGCCAGUAGAUGUAAGUUUAUACAAAAAAAAAAAUCGGGUCUCAAGGUUAGACAUGUCCAGCCAGCUGCAGCUGCUGGGAGUUACUAGCACUACUACAUAUUUUUUUCUGCCUUCUUUCCCCUGAAGAAAUAAAAUUCCUGGUCAGUCACCUAACGUGCUGCAUCAGGGAAGGUUUGCAUACCAAGCUGGAAUAUACACUGGUGUGAAAUGCUUCAGAGUUGAGUCCUGGUGGUCUUUGUGGUUUCAAUAUCUGGGCAUAACACUGUGAACUGGGGUUCAUUGUAAUGUUUUAAUGAAUUUUAUGGAUUCCAGAACAUUCUUCUAAAACAUUGUAGAUCCUAUGCAGUAUCUGUAGUUUGUACAUGGAGAUUCUCUUUGGUAAAGCCUUAAAGAGCUCUUCGAAUUCAAAUUCAUCCAUUCUUUCUUAACACCUGUAUUCCUCCAUUUGCCAUUUUAAGAGUACCUAUUUGCCAGGACAAUGAAUUCAUAUGCUUCCUCAGAGAGCUUUAUAGAUAUUAAUCAUAUGAAGAUACAGUGCAGGUUUGAUUGGAUUAGAAAGUUUACAUUAUAAAGCACCAUCAUAUGGAUUGUGACUAUUAAUAUUUAUUGUGUGAAGUUAUAUUCUCCAUUAAACAUGAAGAUAGGAUAGCAGUAAGGUAUUGCUAAAGAGAAGAUCUAUUGUAGGUUCUGUUAACCCUGAACAGACCUGCUUUCCGGAAAACCAGCUGAAAGAGUGGCUGCAGCAGGCCCCAAAUAAGGGAGGGGGAGGGGAAAGUCUAUGCUCUGGGUCACUGGCAGUCAGCAAAAGACAGACCCAUGGGUGAGACACAUGGGGACUGGGAACUAAUGCUUGGAGCCAGUGCUCCUGAGCCACUGAGAUAAAUUGUCCAGGCCUGACUUGGAAUUUUCAGCCAAAGGAAAGUAAGUGUCUCAAAAGUUAAGAGGAAAGUCUCACCCAAGGGAAUUAGUCCUAGAAUGAGGAUCAUGGAAAUACACGGUUAGCUCCAAGCUCAAGAACUCUUCGGUAGGACCAUGAGGGCAUUUACUCUGACCAAUGGGGGAUGGGGUUUCCCAGGACUGGGCUAGGGAGUGUUGGUCUAGAUGCAAACCUACAGAGUUUCUAAAUCUCAGUCAUGGUACUACAUGAUGUGUUU
rnacentral:lncRNA from 1 species